GCAGUUACUGUUAACUGAAUACAUAGGUUAACAGAGCAAACCGGGGGAACUGAAACAUCUAAGUACCCCGAGGAGAAGAAAUCAACCGAGAUUCCGGUAGUAGCGGCGAGCGAACCUGGAUUAGCCCUUAAGCACUCGGUGAAGUAGGUGAACAAGCUGGAAAGCUUGGCGAUACAGGGUGAUAGCCCCGUAACCGACGCUUCAUCGAGCGUGAAAUCGAGUAGGGCGGGACACGUGAUAUCCUGUCUGAAUAUGGGGGGACCAUCCUCCAAGGCUAAAUACUCCUGACUGACCGAUAGUGAACCAGUACCGUGAGGGAAAGGCGAAAAGAACCCCUGUGAGGGGAGUGAAAUAGAACCUGAAACCGUGUACGUACAAGCAGUAGGAGCACCUUCGUGGUGUGACUGCGUACCUUUUGUAUAAUGGGUCAGCGACUUAUAUUCAGUGGCAAGGUUAACCGUAUAGGGGAGCCGUAGCGAAAGCGAGUCUUAACUGGGCGCUCAGUCUCUGGAUAUAGACCCGAAACCGGGUGAUCUAGCCAUGGGCAGGUUGAAGGUUGAGUAACAUCAACUGGAGGACCGAACCGACUAAUGUUGAAAAAUUAGCGGAUGACUUGUGGCUAGGGGUGAAAGGCCAAUCAAACUCGGAGAUAGCUGGUUCUCCCCGAAAGCUAUUUAGGUAGCGCCUCGGACGAAUACUACUGGGGGUAGAGCACUGUUAAGGCUAGGGGGUCAUCCCGACUUACCAACCCUUUGCAAACUCCGAAUACCAGUAAGUACUAUCCGGGAGACACACGGCGGGUGCUAACGUCCGUCGUGGAGAGGGAAACAACCCAGACCGCCAGCUAAGGUCCCAAAGUAUUGCUAAGUGGGAAACGAUGUGGGAAGGCUCAGACAGCUAGGAUGUUGGCUUAGAAGCAGCCAUCAUUUAAAGAAAGCGUAAUAGCUCACUAGUCGAGUCGGCCUGCGCGGAAGAUGUAACGGGGCUAAGCAAUACACCGAAGCUGCGGCAAUAUCUUUUAGAUAUUGGGUAGGGGAGCGUUCUGUAAGCCGUUGAAGGUGAAUCGUAAGGUUUGCUGGAGGUAUCAGAAGUGCGAAUGCUGACAUGAGUAACGACAAAGGGGGUGAAAAACCUCCUCGCCGGAAGACCAAGGGUUCCUGUCCAACGUUAAUCGGGGCAGGGUGAGUCGACCCCUAAGGUGAGGCCGAAAGGCGUAAUCGAUGGGAAACGGGUUAAUAUUCCCGUACUUCUGACUAUUGCGAUGGGGGGACGGAGAAGGCUAGGUGGGCCAGGCGACGGUUGUCCUGGUUCAAGUGCGUAGGCUUGAGAGUUAGGUAAAUCCGGCUCUCUCUAAGGCUGAGACACGACGUCGAGCUGCUACGGCAGUGAAGUCAUUGAUGCCAUGCUUCCAGGAAAAGCCUCUAAGCUUCAGAUAGUCAGGAAUCGUACCCCAAACCGACACAGGUGGUCGGGUAGAGAAUACCAAGGCGCUUGAGAGAACUCGGGUGAAGGAACUAGGCAAAAUGGUACCGUAACUUCGGGAGAAGGUACGCUCUUGAUGGUGAAGUCCCUCGCGGAUGGAGCUGACGAGAGUCGCAGAUACCAGGUGGCUGCAACUGUUUAUUAAAAACACAGCACUGUGCAAAAUCGCAAGAUGACGUAUACGGUGUGACGCCUGCCCGGUGCCGGAAGGUUAAUUGAUGGGGUUAGCGCAAGCGAAGCUCUUGAUCGAAGCCCCGGUAAACGGCGGCCGUAACUAUAACGGUCCUAAGGUAGCGAAAUUCCUUGUCGGGUAAGUUCCGACCUGCACGAAUGGCGUAAUGAUGGCCACGCUGUCUCCACCCGAGACUCAGUGAAAUUGAAAUCGCUGUGAAGAUGCAGUGUACCCGCGGCUAGACGGAAAGACCCCGUGAACCUUUACUACAGCUUGGCACUGAACAUUGAACCUACAUGUGUAGGAUAGGUGGGAGGCUAUGAAGACGUGACGCCAGUUGCGUUGGAGCCGUCCUUGAAAUACCACCCUUGUAUGUUUGAUGUUCUAACUUAGACCCGUUAUCCGGGUUGAGGACAGUGCCUGGUGGGUAGUUUGACUGGGGCGGUCUCCUCCCAAAGAGUAACGGAGGAGCACGAAGGUGGGCUAAUCACGGUUGGACAUCGUGAGGUUAGUGCAAUGGCAUAAGCCCGCUUAACUGCGAGAAUGACGGUUCGAGCAGGUGCGAAAGCAGGUCAUAGUGAUCCGGUGGUUCUGUAUGGAAGGGCCAUCGCUCAACGGAUAAAAGGUACUCCGGGGAUAACAGGCUGAUACCGCCCAAGAGUUCAUAUCGACGGCGGUGUUUGGCACCUCGAUGUCGGCUCAUCACAUCCUGGGGCUGAAGUCGGUCCCAAGGGUAUGGCUGUUCGCCAUUUAAAGUGGUACGCGAGCUGGGUUUAGAACGUCGUGAGACAGUUCGGUCCCUAUCUGCCGUGGGCGUUGGAAGAUUGAAGGGGGCUGCUCCUAGUACGAGAGGACCGGAGUGGACGAACCUCUGGUGUUCGGGUUGUGUCGCCAGACGCAUUGCCCGGUAGCUAAGUUCGGAAUUGAUAAGCGCUGAAAGCAUCUAAGCGCGAAGCGAGCCCUGAGAUGAGUCUUCCC
rnacentral:rRNA from 1 species